AGAGUUUGAUCCUGGCUCAGGAUGAACGCUGGCGGCGUGCUUAACACAUGCAAGUCGAACGAAGCGCUAGAGAUUGAUUCUUCGGAAGAUUUCUCUUGUGACUUAGUGGCGGACGGGUGAGUAACGCGUGGGUAACCUGCCUCACACAGGGGGAUAACAGUUGGAAACGACCGCUAAUACCGCAUAACCCGCUAGGGCCGCAUGGCCCGGACGGAAAAGAUUUAUCGGUGUGAGAUGGACCCGCGUUGGAUUAGCUAGUUGGCAGGGUAACGGCCUACCAAGGCGACGAUCCGUAGCCGGCCUGAGAGGGUGAACGGCCACAUUGGGACUGAGACACGGCCCAAACUCCUACGGGAGGCAGCAGUGGGGAAUAUUGCACAAUGGGGGAAACCCUGAUGCAGCGACGCCGCGUGAGUGAAGAAGUAUUUCGGUAUGUAAAGCUCUAUCAGCAGGGAAGAAAAUGACGGUACCUGACUAAGAAGCCCCGGCUAACUACGUGCCAGCAGCCGCGGUAAUACGUAGGGGGCAAGCGUUAUCCGGAUUUACUGGGUGUAAAGGGAGCGUAGACGGUUAAGCAAGUCAGAAGUGAAAGGCUGGGGCUCAACCCCGGGACUGCUUUUGAAACUGUUUAACUAGAGUGCUGGAGAGGUAAGCGGAAUUCCUAGUGUAGCGGUGAAAUGCGUAGAUAUUAGGAGGAACACCAGUGGCGAAGGCGGCCUGCUGGACGACAACUGACGCUGAGGCGCGAAAGCGUGGGGAGCAAACAGGAUUAGAUACCCUGGUAGUCCACGCUGUAAACGAUGAAUACUAGGUGUGGGGGGACUGACCCCUUCCGUGCCGCAGUUAACACAAUAAGUAUUCCACCUGGGGAGUACGACCGCAAGGUUGAAACUCAAAGGAAUUGACGGGGGCCCGCACAAGCAGUGGAUUAUGUGGUUUAAUUCGACGCAACGCGAAGAACCUUACCGGGAUUUGACAUCCUACUAACGAAGUAGAGAUACAUUAGGUGCCCUUCGGGGAAAGUAGAGACAGGUGGUGCAUGGUUGUCGUCAGCUCGUGUCGUGAGAUGUUGGGUUAAGUCCCGCAACGAGCGCAACCCCUAUUGUUAGUUGCUACGAAAGAGCACUCUAGCGAGACUGCCGUUGACAAAACGGAGGAAGGCGGGGACGACGUCAAAUCAUCAUGCCCCUUAUGUCCCGGGCUACACACGUAAUACAAUGGCGAUCAACAGAGGGAAGCAAAGCCGCGAGGCAGAGCAAAUCCCCAAAAGUCGUCUCAGUUCGGAUUGCAGGCUGAAACCCGCCUGCAUGAAGUUGGAAUUGCUAGUAAUCGCGGAUCAGCAUGCCGCGGUGAAUACGUUCCCGGGCCUUGUACACACCGCCCGUCACACCAUGAGAGUCGGGAACACCCGAAGUCCGUAGUCUAGCCGCAAGGAGGGCGCGGCCGAAGGUGGGUUCGAUAAUUGGGGUGAAGUCGUAACAAGGUA
rnacentral:rRNA from 1 species